UACGAAGGGGGCUAGCGUUGCUCGGAAUUACUGGGCGUAAAGCGCACGUAGGCGGCUUCUUAAGUCGGUGGUGAAAUCCUGGAGCUCAACUCCAGAACUGCCUUCGAUACUGGGAAGCUCGAGUCCGGGAGAGGUGAGUGGAACUGCGAGUGUAGAGGUGAAAUUCGUAGAUAUUCGCAAGAACACCGGUGGCGAAGGCGGCCCACUGGCUCGAUACUGACGCUGAGGUGCGAAAGCGUGGGGAGCAAACAGG
rnacentral:rRNA from 1 species